rnacentral:rRNA from 1 species
UACGGGGGGGUGCAAGCGUUGUCCGGAUUUAUUGGGUUUAAAGGGUGCGUAGGCGGCCCUGUAAGUCAGUGGUGAAAUACUGCAGCUUAACUGUAGCAUUGCCAUUUGAUCUGUAGGGGCUUUGAGUACAGAUGGAGGUAGGCGAAUUGAUGGUGUAGCGGUGAAAAUGCAUAGAUCCCAUUCAAGAACACCCGAUUUGCGAAAGGGCAGC